CCUACGGGAGGCAGCAGUGAGGAAUAUUGAUCAAUGGUCGGGAGACUGAACCAGCCAAGCCGCGUGAGGGAGGAAGGUACAGAGUAUCGUAAACCUCUUUUGUCAGGGAACAAAGGCGGGGACGUGUCCCCGGAUGAGUGUACCUGAAGAAAAAGCAUCGGCUAACUCCGUGCCAGCAGCCGCGGUAAUCCGGAGGAUGCGAGCGUUAUCCGGAUUUAUUGGGUUAAAAGGGUGCGCAGGCGGUCUGUUAAGUAAGCGGUCAAAGCCCGGGGCUCAACCCCGGCCCGCCGUUGAAACUGGCAGGCUCGAGUUGGAGAGAAGUAGGCGGAAUGCGCGGUGUAGCGGUGAAAUGCAUAGAUAUCGCGCAGAACUCCGAUUGCGAAGGCAGCAUGCCGGCUCCACACUGACGCUGAGGCACGAAAGCGUGGGUAUCGAACAGGAUUAGAUACCCGGGUAGUC
rnacentral:rRNA from 1 species